GGCGCAACCCGCUUCACUUCUUCUCUCAUGUCACUGAUGUCAACUGUCGUCUGCUACACACGUUUGACAGCAGCGGUUUUCUUGUGCGUGCUUUGAUGCAUCUUAUCAACAUCUCUCGGGCGUAUCAGAGUCAAUGGUGAAAUGAAUGAGGUGGACUGUUCGUAAUUUAAUACAAAUGUCUUCUGGAAAGUGCGAGGAAAACAACUUAUCUCCCCGCUCUGCCAACAAAAUCGGAGUUUGGAAUACAAUGUAGAAAACAGAUUUUGUUUACUGAAUUCCGUUAUGCCCAUUGAAAAUGUACAAAACUAGUCAACGAAGUCAAGCGUUUGAAGACUACAGAAAACGGAUAUUCCUAGUCGUAAAAGGGAGAGCUGCGAGAACAACAUUGUCAUAAAGUGAUAAUCGAUUUAUGAGGCCGGUACUUUUGACUAUAGCUCUCAGCAUUAUCUUUCAAAAAAGAAGCGAAAUUCUGCUAAGUUUUAGUUCAAUCUUCGUGGGAGGCUACGCGUAGCGCGUAAAGAUAAACAUCCAUAUGCAAGAAUAACAUCUUCUAGAUCCCUCUAAUCACAACACUCGAAGGAUACCCUGUACAUAAACGAGAAACAUGAGUAGAAAAACACUUUUGAUGAAACUAUCAGAAAAAUGGGAGAGUAGCCUGGCAAUUCAUCAAAUAAUAUCAUUAUUCGCACAGAAAAACUAGUAUUGCACACAAAUAAUCGGAAAGAAAUUGACAAAAAAAGUUUUUGAAACAAAAAUAGUGACUUAGGAAAGAUUGCGAAUUUUUUUUUCAUAAAUAAGGAAUUUUAUUCGAAUUUUAUUUUGAUACAUUUCACGUUGUCUUCCACAACGUUUUGCGAUAUAAUUGAAAAUAGAACAACCUUGAACACGGUCAAUUCUAAUGGCACUUCAAGUUAACUAAAGAAAAUAGUGUUAUAUUGUUUUUUGUAUACGUUACAUAUAGUAGUAGGUAUUAUGAAUGUCUUAAAUAGAAAAGGUUUUAAGAAUGUUUAUCGCACUUCUUACAUCAAAUCGUUGUUUAACAACGAUUAAGAAGUUCUUAUUUAUAACGUAUUUUGUUCGAUUCUCUCUGGCUUUACAUUUUUCUGCCGAUGUCUCUUUUCUCUGUUUUUUAUUUAUUAGUACGUGUUUUGUGAAAGUUUUGGGUACGUUUC